GCCCCUGUGGCUUAGUGGCUAUAGCGGCUGACUUGUAAUCAGCAGGUCGGGAGUUCAAUUCUCCCCAGGGGCU
rnacentral:tRNA from 1 species